GCCGCAAGGUUAAAACUCAAAUGAAUUGACGGGGGCCCGCACAAGCGGUGGAGCAUGUGGUUUAAUUCGAUGCAACGCGAAGAACCUUACCUACUCUUGACAUCCAGAGAACUUUCCAGAGAUGGAUUGGUGCCUUCGGGAACUCUGAGACAGGUGCUGCAUGGCUGUCGUCAGCUCGUGUUGUGAAAUGUUGGGUUAAGUCCCGCAACGAGCGCAACCCUUAUCCUUUGUUGCCAGCGGUUCGGCCGGGAACUCAAAGGAGACUGCCAGUGAUAAACUGGAGGAAGGUGGGGAUGACGUCAAGUCAUCAUGGCCCUUACGAGUAGGGCUACACACGUGCUACAAUGGCGUAUACAAAGAGAAGCGACCUCGCGAGAGCAAGCGGACCUCAUAAAGUACGUCGUAGUCCGGAUUGGAGUCUGCAACUCGACUCCAUGAAGUCGGAAUCGCUAGUAAUCGUAGAUCAGAAUGCUACGGUGAAUACGUUCCCGGGCCUUGUACACACCGCCCGUCACACCAUGGGAGUGGGUUGCAAAAGAAGUAGGUAGCUUAACCUUCGGGAGGGCGCUUACCACUUUGUGAUUCAUGAC
rnacentral:rRNA from 1 species